rnacentral:lncRNA from 1 species
GACCGGACGAACGUAAUAGAUGUACCUGUAGUGCCUUCGCCAGGGCUCUAACCUGCCCAGAUCUACGCUAAAAUUAUAUACGCCAGCGCCCAGCAGCUAAGGGUGUCUAUUUGCUGCUUAAAAGUUUAGGGAACGUGUGCUACGAGGACGUGAGGAUGUGCCGAAGCUCAUGAAAAAAGCCUGCGACCAGAGCCAAGAGGCCAGAGCGCCACAGCCUGGCGGUUCUUGCUGUUAGUCUCCGAGCCCGCGACGAUGAAGGUCGGCGGGAAGGAGUCCAAAGGGAUGAAGGACAGGGGGCACUUCCUGCAGACGGAGCUGGGCACCGAGGGGGCACUUCCUGUAGUUGGAGCUGGAGACUCACUGGCAACUUCCGGCAAGCGUUGUGCUCCUUAGAAGCCUGGUGACAAUCUCUGGUGCACCGGUGGAGCCAGGUCGUGGUUUUCCUGACCCGCACCUCUCCUGGUAGUUUCGAAGAAACCAAACACGCGCUCAUUUCCGUAAAUCAUUUCAACAACAACAACAACAAAAAAAAAAAAAAAAAAAACCAAAAAACCCUGUAGGAUGUACCUGAGGGAGCGCUCUUGCUUGACAUACUUACUGGGUUCGGUCCCCAGCACCACAAAAGAAAAAUUUUCCUAGACUGUCUUCCAUAAAGACAAAGCUGAGUUGGCCUUUACAGGGUCUUGUGCGGACAGUCAGUUGGGUAAAUACCCAACAAAGCCCUAAGGAUUGAACUCAGGUGUGUUGGCAAGCACUUACUGGCGGAUCUACCACCACAACCUUCCUAGAGAUGUCUU